UACGGAGGGGGCGAGCGUUAUUCGGAAUCAUUGGGCGGAAAGGGCGCGUAGGCGGCCUAGCAAGUCAGGGGUGAAAUCCCUCGGCUCAACCGAGGAACUGCCUCUGAAACUGCUUGGCUAGAGACCGGGAGAGGGUAGUGGAAUUCCCAGUGUAGCGGUGAAAUGCGUAGAUAUUGGGAGGAACACCAGUGGCGAAGGCGGCUACCCGGACCGGUUCUGACGCUGAGGCGCGACAGUGUGGGGAGUAAACAGG
rnacentral:rRNA from 1 species